rnacentral:rRNA from 1 species
AGCGAACGCUGGCGGCGUGCCUAACACAUGCAAGUCGAACGCGAAAGUCCCGCAAGGGAUAAGUAGAGUGGCAAACGGGUGAGUAACACGUGGGUGACCUGCCUUCGAGUGGGGAUAACGUCCCGAAAGGGACGCUAAUACCGCAUGAUAUCCCGCCUUUUAACAGGUGGAGCUCAAAGCUGGGGAUCGCAAGACCUAGCGCUCGGAGAGGGGCCCGCGCCCGAUUAGCUAGUUGGGGGGUAACGGCUCACCAAGGCAACGAUCGGUAGCCGGCCUGAGAGGGCGGACGGCCACACUGGGACUGAGACACGGCCAGACUCCUACGGGAGGCAGCAGUGGGGAAUUGUUCGCAAUGGGCGCAAGCCUGACGACGCAACGCCGCGUGGAGGAUGAAG